rnacentral:rRNA from 1 species
CAAGGAAUUUUCCACAAUGGGCGCAAGCCUGAUGGAGCAACGCCGCGUGCAGGACGACGGCCUUCGGGUUGUAAACUGCUUUUGGGGGUGAAGACAUCGACGGUAGCCCCCGAAUAAGCCUCGGCUAACUCUGUGCCAGCAGCCGCGGUAAGACAGAGGAGGCAAGCGUUGUCCGGACUGACUGGGCGUAAAGCGUCCGCAGGUGGUCGUGCAAGUGCGCUGUGAAAGCGGCCCGCUCAACGGGCCGAGGCCAGCGCAGACUGCUCGACUGGAGGUCGGGAGAGGUCGGUGGAAUUGCCGGUGUAGUGGUGAAAUGCGUAGAGAUCGGCAGGAACACCCAAGGGGAAGCCAGCCGACUGGCCCGCACCUGACACUCAGGGACGACAGCGUGGGGAGCGAACCGGAUUAGAUACCCGGGUAGUCCACGCCGUAAACGAUGGACACUGGUCCUCUGGGAGGUAUCCAUUCCUCUUGGGGGGCUCAGCUAACGCGCAAGUGUCCCGCCUGGGAACUACGAGCGCAAGCUUAA